rnacentral:rRNA from 1 species
CAGUAGCCGCGGGAAUACGUAGGUGGCAAGCAUUGUCCGGAAUUAUUGGGCGUAAAGGGCUCGCAGGCGGUUUCUUAAGUCUGAUGUGAAAGCCCCCGGCUCAACCGGGGAGGGUCAUUGGAAACUGGGAAACUUGAGUGCAGAAGAGGAGAGUGGAAUUCCACGUGUAGCGGUGAAAUGCGUAGAGAUGUGGAGGAACACCAGUGGCGAAGGCGACUCUCUGGUCUGUAACUGACGCUGAGGAGCGAAAGCGUGGGGAGCGAACAGGAUUAGAUACCCCCGUAGUCCCUGUCUCUUAUAC